GGAGAUUCUGGAAAUAUUCACGAUGAAUAAAGAACCACCAGAAUAUUAUGAUGAAAUUCAAGGGUGUAAAGUGCAGUCGAACUCCACCAAUGAAAUUCACACUUGGCAUCUGUCGCGCGGUAUGCCCAUACCCACCAGCACUGGACAGAUUGUGCCUUCAAUUGUGAAACUGCCAAAGCGGAAAUUGAAACCACCUGAUGAUUGAUCCAGUUUCAGGGAAGUUUUUGUUAGUUUGCUUUCGUUUUUAUUUUUAUUUUUCUUUUUCUUGUCUUUUAUGCUUUCUUUGUUUUGUGUCUUUGUUCUUAGUAUUUCCCCACACAAUGAGGACAUUGUGUUGUUUAAGUGUGGGGGAGUUUUUAUGUCUUUUGUCUUGAGUCUGUGUGCAUGUUUUGUUUUGGUCUUCCUUUUGAGUCUGUCUAUGGCAACUUUUCAUGCGAGCAUUUCGAUUUGUUAGGAUGAGCAUAUUGAUAUGGAUUGGAUGGUUGUUUUCUUGGAUGAUACAAAAAUGUGUUGAAACCCAUAUGUGUUUGAGGAUGACGAAUGUGCAAAUUGAUCAAUUUUGUUGAAAACCACUCAUAUAGUGAGGAUUGAGCCUUUAGAGCAAUAACUUGAAUGCUCCUUGCUUGUUUUCGAUGAGUGUUAUGCAUUCUUGACUUCUUGAUAUUCGGUUUGCCAUGUUGCCAUAAUAAAUUUUUAAACAACCAAUUGGACUCAUUUGUGAAGAUGAUUUAGGCAUUAGGAAUGAACCUCAUUGGCCUUAAAAAUAUCCUACCUUUCAAUAUUCAUUAGUGAGCCAUUUUGAAGCCUUGACCCUUUUUAUUGUUAUAUAUGAUUGAAGCCUCGAAAAUUUUAGCCAUUAGCCUUCUUUUAGCCUUGCUUUGUCCAUUUCCAGCAUGAUGCAAGUGGUUUGUUUUGUGAUAUUACUUUGUUGGAAGAAUAAGGUUGAUUGAAAUUUAGUGCUUGGUUGGAAUGAUUGAGGAUUGAAAUUGACAAAAGAGGUUGUUGGUUGUUUAAAAAUGAGGUGAUCUUAUGAUGUUAAUUCAAAAAAAAAAAAAAAGCAAAAAAAAAACAAAAAAACAAAAAAAAAGAAAAAGAAAAAAAAAGAAAAAAAGAAGAAUGCUGGAGUUUGAAUGUCUAUGUAUUGGGAAUAAGGGUUGAUUUGAUUUAGUUUGAUUUUGGGAUUAGAAUGUGGUGAACUACUUGCAUUGUGUUGGUUUUAUUAGCCUUGUUUAUCCACUUUUGUUUAUCCUACCUAUGCACCCUAGCCCCAUUACAACCUUGUGGAAAGACCUAUUGAUUCAUGGAUAAGUUCAGUUUUCGAAUUGAAGAUAUUGA
rnacentral:lncRNA from 1 species